ACACACACACACACACACACACACACACACACACACACACACACACACACACACACACACACACACACACACACACACACACACACACACACACGUGUGUGUUCUUGCCUCCCCAGUCCGUGUCUGUGUGUUUGAUUCCCCGUGCCCCAGAGUCCUGUAGGGAUGAAUAGGAGUCAUCAGGCCGUUACAGGAGUGUAAAUGAGAAGCUUAGGAAGACACUGGUCACACCUGGACGUCAGUUUGGCAGGCACACAACAGCUCCGACCAUGCUCUGUUUUUCACUAGGGCAGGCCUUGGCUGGAGCUCACACCGUCUCCCUCCCCCCAUCGACUCCCCUUCACACAGCUUAUCUAUUGCUCUCUGGAUCAUCACUAAUCAUUUUAAAUGCCCACUUCUCCGCAUUAGCCUACAUUAUAUCUUCACUUCAAUGUCAGGCCAUGCUGGGAAUUGACUGUAUACAGCGGGGGCGAUUUAUUAACAGUGAUCGUGUUUAGCAGAAGUUAGCAUGCACCACUUGGUUUCAAAAGGGAACUAUGGGUUGGGUAUGGUUAACUGGACGCUGUAGCACAGUUAACAGAGGAAAGUUAAGAACUUAUUUUGAGUGUUGGGGAGGGAAGAUGGUCAUCAUUGGCUAGCCUACAGCAAAUGGUUCAUUGGAUCAAACUUGAUGGGGGCUUUCUAUGAGGGGGUUUGGUAUUUUCUCUGAUCAUGAAGGGGUCCUACCUACUUCCUCUGCGUUAUUAUAAGGUAAUGCUGACACAAGCAUGUGAUGCUCAGCCAGCCUACCCUUGGUGAAGGGUACUAGGGUGCUCGGUUUAGGUAUGAUUUAAUGCAACUUAAAGCAAAAGGGAUUGUGCAUCCACAUUCCAAAUAUGAAUGCUUUAGACAUCCGAGGCAAAUUCUCCACACGCAUAGUGUGAAAACUAGCAUAACACAUUAUGAUUAUUUUCUUUACUCAAUUACACAUUAUACAUGCUGUAUCACAUUAGAAUGAUUGUUGUUGGACCAAUCUUGCCUAUUACAUAUUAAGCAACUUAAUAUGUAACUCUAAUAAGUAUUUCUACAGAAUAUCAGUGGCUGGCUGGCUUUACCCUGCAAGCCUUGGCCAAAAGGAGAGAACUAGACUGGGAGAGAGGGUGUCUUCUUCAAUAGGCAGUGUCCUAGGGGUAGUGAUGCCCGGGCGGGAUGGGUGUUGGGCUUGGAGAGUGAGGCUCUAGCCAGCUUGGUGAUGCUGAUGCUUGUGGACAACCUCAGCUAUUGUCCCCUAUUUGCCCAGAGGGCUCCAGGGCCAAAAUGUUACUUUCACUCCACGAAAGACUGGCUCACUACAAUAGAGGAAAAGAGUACAACAAAAAAGUGUCAUGUCCUCACAUGUCUGUGCUAUGGUCAUGAACUAGGCUAGGGCCGCUAGGCCCUUCAAGCUAAUUGUUGUGCUUGCUGAGCGUCGAGGGCGUCACCACACAAAAGCAUCCAGCUGCACCGGCGGGGGGAGUGGAUCUCCUAUAUCGCUUCUGUUUCUAACGCCGGGAUUUCAGGAGGAAACCAAAUGGGGCCGAUAAGGCGGUUCUGUUUUCUCGACGACACCGCGAGACAACGGUCGUCGUCCAGCAUCUGCACCAUUCACGUAAUGCUUUGACUCGUAUCCGACGAAGCGUGACACAGGAGAGACGGUGACUGGGUCUGACAGGGGAUGUGAUUUAUGCAUCAGCUCGCUUAAGAGUCUCCUCCUCCUUGCGCCUGUAGGAUCAGGGACUGUAGAACACGGCUUACCCGCUGCAACAGGCCCGACAGGCCCGGCAGUGAGAGGGUGGGCGACCCCGCUGCAGCACUGUGAUUAAUAUCAUUACCAUCCCUGCUGAAUCAGGGGAUGUCUGCCGGAGCUGCCACCAGCACAGCACCACCACCACCACUCAUUUUCUCUCUCGGCGCUAAUGAGUGUGUCAGGGCGUGCGGCCGCUUUGAGCAGACUGUCUGCUCAGAGUUUAUGUUCAAAUUAAAAAGGGCUUUGUGGAAUCACAGAUGUGGUGUUAUGUGGGAUGGGAGAGGUGGCGUUGGUCUGUGAACUCUGUGACUCCCGGCUUAAGGGCUCGACGAAGGCCAAAUGGAAAGAAGAGGAGGAACACAGUGGUGGUGAUAAUUUUGAAUUGACCAGCUCUCUGAGAGGGCCUAGUACUCGUGGACUCGUAAACUAAUUAGAAAGGUUGAGGCAAAUUAAUGCAAGCAGUACUUGGAAGCAUAUGCUGUUGAAUAAAUGAUAAUGCAUUAAUGUGUAACGACAUGGAUGUUAAGGCAAUGUCAAUUAGGGGGCAGUUUGCAUUUGACAGUGCUAUUCAGGGGCUUUUGGAAAAAGUAUCCUUCCUAGGAAGAGGCCAUUAGCUCUUGUCACAGUUGCUGCAUUGCUUUUUCUAGGUGUGUGUGUGUGUGUGUGUGUGUGUGUGUGUGUGUGUGUGUGUGUGUGUGUGUGUGUGUGUGUGUGUGUGUGUGUGUGUGUGUGUGUGUGUGUGUGUGUGUGUGUGUGUGUGUAAAAGAAAAAACAGCUGUUUGGCCAUCUUUUAAUAUAUCAGUAGUUAUGUAAUUAUGGCUUUUCUGGUUAGUAUGCAGUAAAUUAUUCCAUCAGAUUUCACAGGAAAUCCAUCCAGAUGGCAGGCAAUUCCCGCAACGGGUAUCUGCAGUAUGGCGUGGAUAUUGGCAAUGUUCCCAAAUAAUGAUCUCCUUUACCUAUAUCCCUUCUAUAGAUGCAUCAUGAAAUCAAUUGGUUCUCAAGGUUCCUUUAGCAGAAACUAUAAACCCCGCUGCUGUGCUUGAGAGCUGAUAUUCCACCAGCCAGCUGUAGUGUCAAGGGCAAUUAUCAUGUUGUGUUGGUAGACAGAGGUGCCAUCAUGUCACCUUCACAUUUCAGAAUAUAGGCCCACUACCAGGGACACACAACCUAUGCUCGGUGGAAGUGGCAGAGAAUUCGAAAGCCGGACAUGUGACUUGUCAAUGUUAACCCCCCCCCCUCCCCCCCAAACCGGUGGUGGUGGAGAACGGCGGAGUGCGUAGCGUGAAGAAAUGUCUAUCCCCCGGCUCUCAUGUCAGGAAUCCUAAUGAGGUUUAUUGGGGCAGAAAGGGCACUGCUUUCCCCCCUGAGGCUGUAGCCAGAGACCCAUCUCUUGUCUCUUACACACACACACACACACACACACACACACACACACACACACACACACACACACACACACACACACACACACACACACACACACACACACACACACACACACACACACACACACACACACACACACA